CCUACGGGUGGCAGCAGUGGGGAAUAUUGGACAAUGGGGGGAACCCUGAUCCAGCCAUGCCGCGUGUGUGAAGAAGGCCCUCGGGUUGUAAAGCACUUUCAGUGAGGAAGAACGCCUGGUGGUUAAUACCCAUCAGGAAAGACAUCACUCACAGAAGAAGCACCGGCUAACUCCGUGCCAGCAGCCGCGGUAAUACGGAGGGUGCGAGCGUUAAUCGGAAUUACUGGGCGUAAAGCGCGCGUAGGUGGCUUGAUAAGCCGGUUGUGAAAGCCCCGGGCUCAACCUGGGAACUGCAUCCGGAACUGUCAAGCUAGAGUGCAGGAGAGGAAGGUAGAAUUCCCGGUGUAGCGGUGAAAUGCGUAGAGAUCGGGAGGAAUACCAGUGGCGAAGGCGGCCUUCUGGACUGACACUGACACUGAGGUGCGAAAGCGUGGGUAGCAAACAGGAUUAGAUACCUCGGUAGUC
rnacentral:rRNA from 1 species